rnacentral:ncRNA from 1 species
AUGAUCCCCGUGGGAGAGAUCGCCCCGGUUCCGGCAACGGAGCCGAGGGUGGCGCCGAAGGAGCAACCGCCCCUGGAAACUCUCAGGCAAACGGACCGCGGGGGGAUG